rnacentral:rRNA from 1 species
UACGGGGGGGGCAAGCGUUUGUUCGGAAUUACUGGGCGUAAAGGGCUCGUAGGCGGCCAACUAAGUCAGACGUGAAAUCCCUCGGCUUAACCGGGGAACUGCAUCUGAUACUGGAUGGCUUGAGAUUGGGAGAGGGAUGCGGAAUUCCAGGUGUAGCGGUGAAAUGCGUAGAUAUCUGGAGGAACACCGGUGGCGAAGGCGGGUCUCUGGGCAACUACUGACGCUGAGGAGCGAAAGCGUGGGGAGCGAACAGG